rnacentral:rRNA from 1 species
CUUGACACUGAACAUUGAGCCUUGAUGUGUAGGAUAGGUGGGAGGCUUUGAAGUGUGGACGCCAGUCUGCAUGGAGCCGACCUUGAAAUACCACCCUUUAAUGUUUGAUGUUCUAACGUGGACCCGUGAUCCGGGUUGCGGACAGUGUCUGGUGGGUAGUUUGACUGGGGCGGUCUCCUCCUAAAGAGUAACGGAGGAGCACGAAGGUUGGCUAAUCCUGGUCGGACAUCAGGAGGUUAGUGCAAUGGCAUAAGCCA